UUGCAUCGAGAAGAACGCAGCGAAAUGCGAUAAGUAAUGUGAAUUGCAGAAUUCAGUGAAUCAUCGAAUCUUUGAACGCACAUUGCGCCCCUUGGUAUUCCGGGGGGCAUGCCUGUUCGAGCGUCAUUAUAACCCUCAAGCCUAGCUUGGUGUUGGAGCAUGCUAUCUAGCAGCUCUUAAAAUCAGUGGCAGUGCCCUUCGGCUCUAAGCGUAGUAACUUCUCUCGCUAUGGAAACCGGAUGGUACGCGCCAAAACCCCCAACUUUCUAUGGUUGACCUCGGAUCAGGUAGGGAUACCCGCUGAACUUAAGCAUAUCAAUAAGCGGAGGACA
rnacentral:misc_RNA from 1 species